rnacentral:lncRNA from 1 species
GAGCAGUUGUUUUAUUUCACUGAUGAAUUUGCUGUGAUGAUAUCUUAGUGAGCUUUAUGAGGGUAUUGUUUGCUGUUGUGUCCCACAUAAAACCCCAGAACAGAUUCUAGCAUAUAGUGGAUGUUCAGAAAUCCUGAAAAAGUGUAUCCUAGAGGAGAAAUCGAGGUCAUAUGUUGACAUUUUCCAAUAUGAGUUUCUACCAACUUUUUCUGUCUGCCUUCUCUACUUCUGAGGGGCAGGGAAUCAGCAGUACCUAUUGGGAGUGCAGUGUCAGUAAGGAGAUAAAGUUUGUCAAGCCCCACAUCCUGGUGGGCCUCUAGGCCUAUUGGGGGCAGUGGGAGUGGUAAUUUAGUAAUUCAGUAAUUUAGUCCAUGUGAGAAGCCUGUGUGUCUUCAGGUGGGAGUGUCCCAUCUCCUGCCCAGAGAGAGUGGUUAGGACUGAAAAUGAGCCCAAGUUUGAAUAUCUUCACAAAAUAGGGGGUGUUACUGCCUCCUAACAGACUUGCUCAGGAGGUGAACCCUGGAAUGCCAACAGGGAAAGGGAACUGAGAGAAUUGAGCAAGAUCAGUGAGUGAAGUGGGAGGACAUCCCGGGUAGAUGGAGAUGGGAAUACCCCGUGGCUGUUGCUGAGUGCAUCUGGGACAACCGAACCGCUAGGAUUGGUAGGCACUAGCACAUAAUGAUCAUAUGUAUGUGUAUAGCCCCUGGCCAAUCAAUCUUGGGUCUGCUGCUUCCCUGCAAUAGAUAGGUCUUAUGCAUUCACCUUUAUGGCAUUGUGUCAGGAAGUAGGCUCUGUGACUAUUGCUCUCCUCUUAUAAUGGUGGGCCUGAGCCCUGUAGGGAAAUGCCUUCAGAGUUCAAGGACUCAUGCAACCCUGGCUCAUGAUUCUGUGUCCGUAUGGCUGACUGUCUCUCCUCUUGGGUCUAGAAUCAGGGAACAUAGCAUUAGUCUUUGAUGCCUGGCAACCUCAGGCCCUUUUCAGGUCUCUGGCUGCAGGGGUAGAGUAAGAGACUUCUGCCUGGUGAGAGGAUGGAUCCCUGUAGCUGACAUCUUUGCACACUCACCUCUGUCCUUGCCGGUUUUCAGAUUCCAGCUAUUUCCAGCCUCAAAACUUGCCCCUAGGAGGCAGAAAUGGAGCCCACAGGUUCAGGACCAUCCCCUUGGACCCCUGUAUCACAGACAUGUGUGAGUGAUACUCCUCCUGUGACCCACCCUGGUUCUUUAGUCUUUGGGCCCCUCUACUUUGGCAUUAAUGAACUGGAAGCCGUACACCCUCACCAUUAGCAACCAGGUACUGGGAACAUGUUUCCUACUGGUGUCCUCAUUCUGGGGAGAUGAUGUCCAUGUCACCCUAUUCUCACCCCUAGGAGCAUCAGGCCUCAGGGACUCAAGGGGCUGAGGCUGACCAUCAGAAAGUAAGUUGACCUGGCCUGGCCCCUGGUGUCCUGAACAGGCUUCUGACUUCUUUCUUGAGACAGAGGGCUAUAACAUGAUGGUUAUCAGAGUCCUUUGCUGUCUGCUGUAGCCCUGACCCCUUCCAAGCCCAGUGACCAGACUGGUGGCAGUCCCUGCCUCGGGAUUCUUUCCUAUACCUUCCUGGUGGUAUUCACACUGCCCAGCUGCUCCUGUUGCCCUGAGAACCCUUUUAGAGAGAACUUUGGGGGGAAAACUUUUUUGGGGGGCGGGGGCGGGGACAGCUCCCUCAUGUGGACCUUUUGCUUCUUUUGUUUGGGUCAGUUAGUGGCUAUGUUACUCUGGCAAGACCCUGUGUGGAUGGGGAUGAUUAGGCUAAGGGUAUACGUGUGUAGGAGAGUCCUGCACGUGUGGAAGAGAGCAGAUUCUAAAAAGAAGUGAAGAGCAGGUAGAGAAGGGUCCCCAGAAGUGGCCCCAAGGAGCAGGCCUGCUCAUCAGCCUGAGCAGAGGCAGAAUGUUAAGCAGACUGCCAAGGAUCCCUGCUGGGAGUGGUGAGAAGAGAGUGGUGAGAGAAUCCCAGAGCCUUGCUCUGCACCUUGGUGGGGGAGAGAUAGGCUAAUGGGGGUUCAUGUUUUAAAAGCCACUGUGGAGCCAUCAGAAUAGGCAGCCCCAAACACUUGCUCCUCUACAUAAAUGUUCA